GUCCACGCUGUAAACGAUGGGCACUAGGUGUCCGGGGUAUUGACCCCCUGGGUGCCGCAGCUAACGCAUUAAGUGCCCCGCCUGGGGAGUACGGUCGCAAGAUUAAAACUCAAAGGAAUUGACGGGGGCCCGCACAAGCGGUGGAGCAUGUGGUUCAAUUCGACGCAACGCGAAGAACCUUACCUGGGCUAGACAACGGUGGACCGUCCUAGAAAUAGGAUUUUCCCUUCGGGGACUGCCGGUUCAGGUGCUGCAUGGCUGUCGU
rnacentral:rRNA from 1 species